rnacentral:rRNA from 1 species
CGAACUUCCGUUAAUUGAUUAUGACGUACUUGUACUGAUUGAGAUUUUAACACGAAGUGAGUGGCGAACGGGUGAGUAACACGUGGGUAACCUGCCCAGAAGUAGGGGAUAACACCUGGAAACAGAUGCUAAUACCGUAUAACAGAGAAAACCGCAUGGUUUUCUUUUAAAAGAUGGCUCUGCUAUCACUUCUGGAUGGACCCGCGGCGUAUUAGCUAGUUGGUGAGGUAAAGGCUCACCAAGGCAGUGAUACGUAGCCGACCUGAGAGGGUAAUCGGCCACAUUGGGACUGAGACACGGCCCAGACUCCUACGGGAGGCAGCAGUAGGGAAUCUUCCACAAUGGACGCAAGUCUGAUGGAGCAACGCCGCGUGAGUGAAGAAGGGUUUCGGCUCGUAAAGCUCUGUUGUUAAAGAAGAACGUGGGUAAGAGUAACUGUUUACCCAGUGACGGUAUUUAACCAGAAAGCCACGGCUAACUACGUGCCAGCAGCCGCGGUAAUACGUAGGUGGCAAGCGUUAUCCGGAUUUAUUGGGCGUAAAGCGAGCGCAGGCGGUCUUUUAAGUCUAAUGUGAAAGCCUUCGGCUCAACCGAAGAAGUGCAUUGGAAACUGGGAGACUUGAGUGCAGAAGAGGACAGUGGAACUCCAUGUGUAGCGGUGAAAUGCGUAGAUAUAUGGAAGAACACCAGUGGCGAAGGCGGCUGUCUGGUCUGCAACUGACGCUGAGGCUCG